AACGAACGCUGGCGGCAUGCCUAACACAUGCAAGUCGAACGAGACCACCGGGUCUUUUGGCGCACGGGUGCGUCACGCGUCGGAACCUGCACUUAUGUUCGGCAUAACUCCCCGAAAGGGGUGCUAACACCGGAUAAUGUCUUCUAACCAAAGAUUUAUCGCGCUGGGAUGGGCCCGCGUUGGAUUAGCUUGUUGGUAGGGUAAAAGCCUACCAAGGCGACGAUUCAUAGCUUGUUUCAGAGAAUGGUCAGCCACACUUGGACUGAGAAGCGGCCGAGACUCCUACGGGAGGCAGGAGUGCGGAAUAUUGCAAAAUCGGGUGAGUGCUGAUCCAGCACUGCCGCGUGAGUGAUGAAGUCCUUAGAGUUGUAAAGCUCUUUUACCCGGGAUGAUAAUGACGGUACCGAAAGAAUAAGCUCCGGCUAACUACGUG
rnacentral:rRNA from 1 species